rnacentral:rRNA from 1 species
GGAGGGUGCAAGCGUUAUCCGGAUUCACUGGGUUUAAAGGGUGCGUAGGUGGAUUAGUAAGUCAGUGGUGAAAUCUCCGGGCUUAACUCGGAAACUGCCAUUGAUACUAUUAAUCUUGAAUACCGUGGAGGUCAGCGGAAUAUGUCAUGUAGCGGUGAAAUGCUUAGAUAUGACAUAGAACACCAAUUGCGAAGGCAGCUGGCUACACGAAUAUUGACACUGAGGCACGAAAGCGUGAGGAUCAAACAGGAUUAGAUACCCUGGUAGUUCACGCCCUAAACGAUGGAUACUCGACAUUUGCGAUAAACUGCAAGUGUCUGAGCGAAAGCAUUAAGUAUCCCACCUGGGAAGUACGAUCGCAAGAUUGAA